AAAGAUUUAUUUAUUAUUAUAUGUAAGUACACUGUAGCUGUCUUCAGACACACCAGAAGAGGGAGUCAGAUCUUGUUACGGAUGGUUGUGAGCCACCAUGUGGUUGCUGGGAUUUGAACUCUGGACCUUCGGAAGAGCAGUCGGGUGCUCUUACCCACUGAGCCAUCUCACCAGCCCCCGAAAGCUUAGUUUUUGAUACCUUUGUGUUAGGGUUGACUUAGACGUGAGGAGACUGAGGUGAAAAUUGAUCCCCCUUGCCUCCUUCAGGGCUGGCUUUUCCAGCUAUGUGUCGUAGUUUGGAGACAACAACUGGUCUCUAAUUGCAGGACUCCCCAUCAGUUGAUGUGGCUUUGGGGACAUAUUUAAUGUCUUUAUGCCUUAGCCUUCCCACCUCUACCAUGGCGACCGUAACUGGCUACGCCGAGCCUCCCCUAUGUGUAAGCUCUGUUGAGAGCACAAGGAGUCAGGACCCACAGUAGGACAGGAGCACUGGGGCAGUGUUGACCAUGGAAUUCUUUUUCCUGGUGAUCUCUAAAGUGCUGGCUGCGAGGAUCUGAGAAGAGAUGCAAUGGAGGGGUGACUUAAGGAAUGUUCUUGGCAGGAAGAUCCUCCCAUCUCCCUCUUCCACGGGCUGGGCUUACAGGUGUACCCCACCACAGCUGCCCCAUUAAAACCUGCUUGAAGUUAGCACAUCGUAAAAUAAAGUGUGUUCGUGUGC
rnacentral:lncRNA from 1 species